CACAGCUCACUUGUUAAUGCAGUCUAUGUGCGUUCAGAUUAUGUCGACGAGAUCUAUCGCUCAUCGGAACAUGUAGCUUAGUCUUCAUACAUUAUCUGGUACAUGGAAAAAGCUUUGGUUAGCCUCUGGUCAUUUAAGUCAAAUGUAAAUUCCCAGAGGGUUUUCAUACCCUAUUGUUCUUGUUGGGCCAAGGCAGCACCAUUACCAUAUGAUAGGUUUUGUGAUUUUAGGCCCCUUGAGGUACAUAUCAG
rnacentral:misc_RNA from 1 species